AGCAUUGCUCUCCUCCUCCAUGCCACAGCCAGUCCAGCCUCACAAGGUGUGCAAACUGGCUGCUCAGGUAUAGCUGCUGCCCAGGAGUACCACACAGAUUUCUUUACACAUUCCUGUAUGUGGGCUGUAUAUUACAGCCCACCAGAGGGACUCUCCUUUCGGCACCCAGAAGAUGCUGUGGUAAGGGAGCCUGGUAUGAAGGUGGCCUUUCUGAGUAAUCUCUGCUGUUGCUUGAACCGGUUUUACAUCUCUGCAGGUGUCGGAGAUCACAGGUGAAGUUUUGUUCUCUUCCCCUGCUCUGACAAAACACAAUCUCCUGAAACACUUUAUAUGAUAGAAAAUAAUCCUGUUAGACUCUCUACACAGUACAGAAGGGGUAGCUGAUGUGGGGCACAGGGAGGUUUGUUUUUCCUGCAUCAAGGUGGAAGAUAGGUAGCUGUAGAGCUGAUAUACCUGGAAAUCUGAUGUUUGAAAGACAUAUUUACUGUCUCCAAUAAAUACCACUGUUAUCUUCAGUUUUAAAGGCUUGUUGU